rnacentral:piRNA from 1 species
UAAGGGACUGUAGCUGCUGGGUUAGC